GUUGGAAAGAUUGAUGUUAGCGGGGCAAAUGAAUAUUCGGCGUAUGAGUGGUGAUUGGAUAGCUAGUGUUUGUAGGCUCUGUGCUCGCGCACCCAAAUACAGACCAACUAUCCUCCUUGAGUGGUGAUUGGAUAGCUAGUGUUUGUAGGCUCUGUGCUCGCGCACCCAACUACAGACCAACUAUCCUCCUCAGUUUCUUCACUAGCAUAGUUUUAUGCUUGUUGAACUGAUCCGGGGCCUGUGUUGCGUACCUAUCUGGAAGGAAUUGUUAAGCUUUGCUUAAAAUGUUGUUGCGGCAUCUCCUUCAGUGGGGAAGUCGUGAACACAUAAGCCGACA
rnacentral:lncRNA from 1 species